GUACUUUAUGAAAGGAGAGGUAAGCACUCUCCUUGACAAAAAUGAAAGAGGUCUUCAGGCCUGAUAAUACACAUAGAGCCUGCUUCCAGCAUCUAACCAUUAUUUUUC
rnacentral:ncRNA from 1 species